rnacentral:rRNA from 1 species
UAGGGAAUCUUCCACAAUGGACGCAAGUCUGAUGGAGCAACGCCGCGUGAGUGAAGAAGGUUUUCGGACCGUAAAGCUCUGUUGUUGGUGAAGAAGGAUAGAGGUAGUAACUGGCCUUUAUUUGACGGUAAUCAACCAGAAAGUCACGGCUAACUACGUGCCAGCAGCCGCGGUAAUACGUAGGUGGCAAGCGUUGUCCGGAUUUAUUGGGCGUAAAGCGAGCGCAGGCGGAAGAAUAAGUCUGAUGUGAAAGCCCUCGGCUUAACCGAGGAAUUGCAUCGGAAACUGUUUUCUUGAGUGCAGAAGAGGAGAGUAGAACUCCAUGCGUAGCGGUGGAAUGCGUAGAUAUAUGGAAGAAUACCAGUGGCGAAGGCGGCUCUCUGGUCUGCAACUGACGCUGAGGCUCGAAAGCAUGGGUAGCGAACAGGAUUAGAUACCCUGGUAGUCCAUGCCGUAAACGAUGAGUGCUAAGUGUUGGGAGGCUUCCGCCUCUCAGUGCUGCAGCUAACGCAUUAAGCACUCCGCCUGGGGGAGUACGACCGCAAGGUUGAAAC